rnacentral:rRNA from 1 species
GAUGAACGCUAGCGGCAGGCCUAAUACAUGCAAGUCGAACGGUGUCUUCGGACAUAGUGGCGCACGGGUGCGUAACACGUAUGCAACCUACCUUACAUUGGGGGAUAGCCUUUCGAAAGGGAGAUUAAUACCGCAUAAGACAGUAGCUGGGCAUCCAGCAGCUGUUAAAGAUUUAUCGAUGUAAGCUGGGCAUGCGUCCAAUUAGCUAGUUGGUGAGGUAACGGCUCACCAAGGCAAUGAUUGGUAGGGGAACUGAGAGGUCAAUCCCCCACACUGGCACUGAGAUACGGGCCAGGCUCCUACGGGAGGCAGCAGUAGGGAAUAUUGGGCAAUGGACGCAAGUCUGACCCAGCCAUGCCGCGUGCAGGAUGAAGGCGUUAUGCGUUGUAAACUGUAUUUAUACAGGAAGAAACGACUCUUGCGAGAGGCAUUGACGGUACUGUAUGAAUAAGCACCGGCUAACUCUGUGCCAGCCGCCGCAGUAACAC